rnacentral:lncRNA from 1 species
AGCCCUGCAGCCACCCAGCUCCAGCCCCGCUCGCCGUGCCAACGUCCCGCAGCAGCAUGAAGGGCUCCGCAGCCGCCCUGGCCGCUCUGCUCCUCCUGGCCCUCUGCUCCUCGGCUGUGGCCCACCUGGAUGGCCUACCCUCAACCUGCUGCUUGUCCUACGUUCAACGUCCCGUCCCACGCAACCUCAUUGCCUCCGCCUACAUCACCAG